rnacentral:rRNA from 1 species
GAUGAACGCUGGCGGCGUGCCUAACACAUGCAAGUCGAGCGAUUUACUUCGGUAAAGAGCGGCGGACGGGUGAGUAACGCGUGGGUAACCUGCCCUGUACACACGGAUAACAUACCGAAAGGUAUGCUAAUACGAGAUAAUAUACUUUUAUCUCAUGGUAGAAGUAUCAAAGCUCUGGCGGUACAGGAUGGACCCGCGUCUGAUUAGCUAGUUGGUAAGGUAACGGCUUACCAAGGCGACGAUCAGUAGCCGACCUGAGAGGGUGAUCGGCCACCUUGGAACUGGGACACGGUCCAAAAUCCGACGUGAGGCAGCAGUGGGGAAUAUUGCACAAUGGGCGAAAGCCUGAUGCAGCAACGCCGCGUGAGCGAUUAAGGCCUUCGGGUCGUAAAGCGCUGUCCUCAAGGAAGAUAAUGACGGUACUUGAGGAGGAAGCCCCGGCUAACUACGUGCCAGCCGCCGCAGUAA